CUCCUGAGAGGCUCCGACAGAAUCUGACAAAUAUAGUGGCAGGUGCUUGCAGCCAACCAUUGGACUGAACACCAGCUUCCUUGGUUUUUACUGUUACUCUCCUGAAUUUCAAAAUUCUUCCCAGAGAUUUUUGCACGGUCCUUUCUUUCCUUACUCCACAUCCCACUACUUUCUGAAGACAGAAAUUGAAGAAGACCUCAGAAGAUGGAAAGAUCUCCCAUGCUCAUGGAUUGGCAGGAUUCAUAUAGUAAAAAUGGCCAUUUUACUAAAA